rnacentral:rRNA from 1 species
UACGGAGGGUGCAAACGUUGCUCGGAAUCAUUGGGCGUAAAGCGCACGUAGGCGGCCUGUUAAGUCGGGUGUGAAAGCCCUGGGCUCAACCCAGGAAGUGCACUCGAAACUGGCAGGCUUGAAUAUGGAAGAGGGUCGCGGAAUUCCCGGUGUAGAGGUGAAAUUCGUAGAUAUCUGGAGGAACACCGGUGGCGAAGGCGGCAUCCUGGACCGGCAUUGACGCUGAGGCGCGAAAGCCAGGGGAGCAAACGGG